UACGUAGGGUGCGAGCGUUGUCCGGAAUUAUUGGGCGUAAAGGGCUCGUAGGCGGUCUGUUGCGUCAGGAGUGAAAACUCGGGGCUUAACCCCGAGCCUGCUUCUGAUACGGGCAGACUAGAGGUAUGCAGGGGAGAACGGAAUUCCUGGUGUAGCGGUGAAAUGCGCAGAUAUCAAGAGGAACACCUGCGGCGAAGGCGGGUUGCUGGGCCGACACUGACGCUGAGGCGCGAAAGCUAGGGGAGCGAACGGG
rnacentral:rRNA from 1 species